AUCUUUCUAGUAUUAAAUCAGUAUAUGUGACUUCCAAUCACUCGGUCUUGGUUAAAUUCCAAGGAAAGAUA
rnacentral:tRNA from 1 species